ACGGGUGCAGGUGAAGAUUCG
rnacentral:miRNA from 1 species